rnacentral:rRNA from 1 species
UACGGAGGGUGCAAGCGUUAUCCGGAUUCACUGGGUUUAAAGGGUGCGUAGGUGGGCAGGUAAGUCAGUGGUGAAAUCUCCGGGCUUAACUCGGAAACUGCCAUUGAUACUAUCUGUCUUGAAUACCGUGGAGGUCAGCGGAAUAUGUCAUGUAGCGGUGAAAUGCUUAGAUAUGACAUAGAACACCCAUUGCGAAGGCAGCUUACUACACGAUCAUUGACGCUGAGGCACGAAAGCGUGGGGGAGCAAACAGGAAUUAGAUACCC